UAGAUUUGAAGGACAAUGACUUAAGAGUAAGGGGAUUAGAGAUUUCAGUGCCAUUUUUGCAAGGUUUAUAACUUUAAGAGAGGUGUUUUGUGUGGAUGUUGCUGAUAUUUAUAAUACAAUCUCCCUCCUGUAUUUCAUGCAUGCUAACUAUUUGACGAAAUGUCUCAACAAGGAAUGUUUUGUGUGGGUGUAGCUGAUAUUUAUAAUACAAUCUCCCUCUUGUAUUUGAUGCAUGCCAACUAUUUGAUGAAAUGGCUCAACAAGGAAUGUUUUGUGUGGAUGUAGUUGAUAUUUAUAAUACAAUCUCCCUCUUAUAUUUCAUUCACGCUAAUUGUUUGAUGAAAUGGCUCAACAAGGAAUAUUUGAGGGUUUGGAUUCAACAUUGGUCUGAUGGAGCCACCAUCCAGCUCUUCAUAUUUGCUGUCCAAUCUGAGACUUAAUACUUCUAAUUUUAGUUGUUCAUCAUCUUUAUCUUUGCUACAACUUCUCCACUUAACUUCCUUCUUGUGCCCACUUAAACUUGUUCCAAGGCUAAGUGAAACAAGUUCAUGCUCUUCUUCAAUUUCAUUGAACUGAUUGAAGUGCUUAGAGGUGUUUAUGCAUCCGUUUGUUUAUUGCUCAGGUGUUGCAAUCUUGAUUUGUGUAAAUAACCUAAGGGGCCUUGAAGAUUCUCACUGUUCUAGCAGAGGGGUUACAAUCUUAGAUUCAGCCCAGCUGCUGGAUGCUUUCAACAGGCUGACAUGUCAUAAGAUGUCUGUGAAAAUUCACAGUGGAGAAACAUAAUGAUACUUUUAGACAUAAGAUGCAGUCAUUUAUGAGAAUCAUCUUUCUUUUCUAAAGUUCAUCAAGAUUGAUAAAUUUUCCUUUUGCAACAAACCAUCCAAAAAAUAACCACCUUUCUUGGUACCCUUGGGAAUUGCCAAAUGUGUGCAUCUAAUUCAUGAUUGAAAGCCUUGAUGUGAAGGUCCCAUUAGAACCCAACUCCCAUCUCCACCUAUCUCUCUUCCCCGAGAUAGAAACAAUGUUGUUGUUGUUUUUUUUUUCUUCUUCUUGUAGUAUGACAAACUCCUGAAUUUCUGUUUCCAUUAGGUUCAUGGGAAAACAAGGAUUCCAUCUAAAUGCACCUCCCUCUUAACAUAAAACAAUCUGCUCUCCUUAAAAAUCUCCUGUCCAAGUUUGUACUGUAUAAAUUUCAGAAGAGGUAAUGUAUACUACUCAAAGGUAAGUCUUCUUUCAUUGCCCAUAUAAAAUUACGUAAUUCCUCUUUUAAAUUAUGAAAUUACGAUCAGUGAGUUGAUUUAGCCUUCACAUAUUAAGGGCAUUAAAGUAUUUUUCUUCUUGUACAGGUGUAAUUACAAAUAUUCCCUUUGAAAACAAUAUUUAUGAAAUUUAUGUUAUUGAAAUUUAUAUGCUUUCUAUUUUUCCUGCAAGUGUUUUCAUUUUCUUAUUAGAAUUGACUCUUACUGAAUCAAUGCCUGAGCGGUUAAUGGGGACGGAUUACAAAUUCACUGGCAAUAUGUCUACAUUGCCUCGAAUCUAGCUAAGUGUCAUUGUCGUGAAGAGAAAACCUUGAUACUCUGGAAGAAUGUGAUGUUUCAUACACAUGCACACAGAAAUUGUGAUGUGGUAAAGAGGUAACCAGAACUGAACUGUGCAAAUCAGAGCCCACUUUACAUGGGUCAUGAACAAAAAUUUGAUGGAACUGAUAUGUUACCUGGCCAGUUGGUUACUUCUAAAUAGAAGGUUGAAAUCCAAAUAGUCAACUUUCCAAAUUUGGCAAACAGAUGUGUAUCAAUACAAGGAUUAGUCUCUCCUUUUAAGGUCGUAUUCAGCUUUGUCAUGGCACUGUAUUUUUAUAGUUUUUUUUAGUUUUUUGUGUUGUAUAGCGGUUCUAUAUGAUGAUAGGUGUGGCCUGUUCCUUCUUGAGGAGCCCACCCAAAUGAUUAUACAACAUGUUUUUUUUUUUAAUAAAAAAGAAAAAAAAUUGAAACUCAUCUGAAAAUCAGGGUGGGAGAUGUUCUUCCAGUGGUCCAGUAUCAUCUGAAGGUUAGGCUGCAAGUUUCAGUUAUGUUCCUACAAAGUGUUAGGCAACUAGUCGUUGCCACUUUCAGAACCUGUCUUUCAGCAAACUGGCGUGCCCAUAACCAUGAUGUGAAUGUUCUUUUGUUCAGACUGUCGUUCUGUUUUGUUCCCUUGUGUAGCAGUAUAGAUGGUUGCAGAUAGGAGUGGGCUGUUGUGGACUGAUGCGCUGCUCUGAUCUGCUGAUGUUCAUAGGGAUGGCUAUGCUAUGCUAAUUGAAUUUAUAUAUAAGUGUGUGUGUGUGCGUGCAUGCGCCUUUGCUGAAUUCUUAUCUGCGAUUCCUUUGUAAUUCCCUCUCCUUCUUGCAUGCCAUGUGUGUGUGCCUUUGCUAAAUUCUUAUCUGCGAUUCCUUUGUAAUUCACUCUCCUUCCUGGAUGCCAUACUUUAUGACAAUUACUUGUGUUGGUUCUCAAAGGUUCAUAACCACUUGCCAAUGAGUGCCCAAUUAAUGAUUGUUAAGUCCUUCAUGCAUAUAUGACUUUUCUAUUGAGGAUGGCAGGCUUCCUUCCAAUUAACCAAAUGAUAAGUAUUUUGAUUGAUGACAUGGAGUAAAUUGGCAAAUUUGAGAGAGCUUCCUUUCUUUAUAAGAGUGAAUGUUCUACCUCCUAAUGAUCACGAUGAUGUUGCAGCUUGUAUUGUCAGGCUUCGGUCUGCCACAACCCAAACAUAUGGUAUAUCAAGAGAGAAGUAGCAACUUCCCCACUGUUUUAUAUGAAACACACCAUAAUUUGAUUAAUUAUCCUUUAAUUAAACAAAAAGAGGAACAUUUCAUAUUUUAUUUACUCUGUUUUCUUUCUUUUCUUCGUAGAGAUACAAAUUGGGGAUUGCAAAUCAACCAUUCAAUUUCAAGCAUGGCAAAUGUGGCAAGGAGUUCUGUAGUGCCACAAGGUAGAGAAAGAAGGGCUAGACUGGUAUGUUAGUUACACACCAUUUAAAAAUGGCGGUGACUCUUCCAAUCUACAUAUGGCAUAGUUGUAUUGCUAUCCGGACCAUGCAAAUCAAUGACGUAACUGUGGAUAGAUCAUAACAAAACCAUAGUGCCAACAAGAUGGAAAACCAUCUUAUUUUUCAUUUGAAUUUGGAUCACUCACUAUUUUACUUUUAACCAUUCAUUUGUUAGCCAUUGAUUGGAUGAUUAGGAUUGUUUGAUUAGUGUCAUGUUUACAGAUUGAUCCAUGGGUCAAUGAGGAGGAUCCAUGCCUGCCAAACAGUGGACAUCGGAGGCCUUUUUAUGAUGGGUUGCUGACAUCAUCAUUUGCUAGUGAUGUCGGAGCCCAUGGGUCUCCAAACAGUAUGCACGUGCUGUCUUCUUUUUUUUUUUUUUGCAGCACCCUGCAUCAUUUCUUUCGUAUGCAUGUGUCUGCAGUUGGGGAGAGUCAUACUUGUGCUCUUUCUCUGGACAUACAAUAGCAUGCAUGUGAGAUGUUGUUUUCUUGAUGUUCUUUUGUUUUCAUAUGUAUUUGAGGGAAUGGGUAUUGUAUGUUGGAACAAAAGGUUGCUGAUAUCAGGUAUCUCUAGAGUCGUUCCAUGCAUUUCCAUUUCAUCUCCACUGGGAAAGGCCAACUUUGUUGUAGUGACGGCGCAGAAAAUAUGCCAAAGAUUGGAUUGAUUUGGGAUGAAUUUCUUUUUAUGCUAGGGGAGGUAUUUUGUAAAUGGGCUCAUAUGAUAGGCAACAUCCCAAGGUUUUAAUGGGAUCAUGCCGGAAUGUAGCAGUCUUGUUACAAGUUUGUUAAUAAAUAAAAAAAAGUUUAUGUUGAAAAAAGGAAGAAGAAGAAAAGAAGAUAAACCCAUGCCUAGCCCAUUUCAGGCUGGUCUCGUGUACCAUUGGGUUACCAUGCCCAUAGCGACCCUUACUCUUGACUAAAUUUAAGAAAUUUGUAAUUCUUUUUAAUAAAUUUUUCUUAUUCUUAAAAACACUAUAACAGGACAGUAUUUUCUUAGUGAAAUGUGUAAAUUAGCAGCAAUACGAUGAACUUUACUAUGAUGUCUUGAAGACCCAUUUACGGUUGAUAUUAGAUUUCGAGUUUGUGAUGUUAUUUUCAUUUUUACUACAUUUUAUCUUUUAAUUGGGUGUGAUCCAAAUUCAUUUGAAGGCACUGCAUGGGUUCUUUUUCUUUUUCUGUUUUUAAAUUCCAAUUACCUGUACAAGCCCCAUUUUGCUUCUUCUGUAAAUCUUGUGGAAUUGGGCUCAUUUAACAUACAAUUAGUUUAAAUUCUAAUAAUAGUGUUGAACUUGUCUAUGUUCUUUUGCGAUUCUCUUUAGAUUUUGAUUGAAUGGUUAUGGAAUUUAGUCAUUUCUUUCUUUCUUUCUUUCUUUUUUUUUUUUUAAAAAGUAAAAAUCUGUUUGACCACGAGUAGGAUUCUAAUCCUACUUGCAUGAAUUGCCUUCACAUUUCUCUUCGCUAGUUUGUCUGCGUCCAACAAAAACAAGGUUAGAGUUCAUGUAUUUCGGGGACGUUACGCUAAAUUAGGAUAGUAAUCCAUGGCCUGAUCUGCUUCUCAUUUAUUCUUGGACUAAACUCCCUAAGUAUUAUUGCUUUCUUUCUCAUUUUAGUUUUUUACUCUUAUAGGCUUUAAAUUUUGUUUUCUUUUGUGCAGCAUUUCAAAAAGUUAUGUGUGACACCAGCUUAUUAGAGACCCGAAAAAGCGGCUGACCACCUAUGAAUUUCGGUGUAAAAGAUACAAUAAAAGUGGAUUUUUUAUCUCCUUCUCAUGAUUCCAGGAAUAUCAUCUCUUCUUGAGGUGAAUGUAGAAGGACAUCAGGUUUCGGCUACUGGAUUUCAGAAGGGUGUUGCAGGGAGCAUAGAUCUAUUGCCAAAAUAUCAGAUCUGAGGUUACAUGAUUGUCUUUUUGAGGAUUUUGAGAGUCAGACCGAGUAAUUCUCACAACAGAAAACAAUCAAGUCCAACCGUUUGAUCUGGAUCACG